rnacentral:lncRNA from 1 species
AAUAGGCUAAGAACUCGGAAACAUUGCGUUGAACGACUAAAUGACUUAUUUAGUGUUUUUUGGGGAUAUAAUAUGUUAGAAUACAAUAAAUUUGAUUGGUUACAAGUGCUAGAGAUGCGUGAAGAGUGUUUAAAAGUGUGGAGAAAGACUUGUUGAAAUUGGGUCCAAAAUAGGCUAAGAACUCAGACACAUUGCGUUGAAGCACUAAAUGAC